rnacentral:rRNA from 1 species
CGAUUGCUGCGGUACUUAGAGAAGGAGCGCCGCCGUACUACAGUCAAGCAGCUGCGUUAGGAGGCAGGGCGCGAGCGUAGUCUGGGCGUAUGGGCGCAAAGAUGAUCGUAGCAGUAUGUCGAGUUGACUGUGAAGUACCUUGGGCUCAACUGUGGGCUUGCAGCCGACAUGGGCAGGAUGGAGCUCGAUAGGGGAGACAGGAAUUCCUGGAGUAGCGAUGAAAUGCGCAGAUAUCAGGAGGAACACCGGUAGUGAAGGCGGGUCUCUGGGCCGAUACAGACGCUGAGGAGCGAAAGCGUGGGGAGCGAACAGGAUUAGAUACCGUGGUAGUCCCCGCUGUAAACGUUGGGCGCUAGGUGUGGGGGGCCUCUCCGGUUCUCCGUGCCGCAGAUAACGCAUUAAGCGCCCCGCCUGGGGAGUACGGCCGCAAGGAUAAAACUCAAAGGAAUUGACGGGGGCCCGCACAAGCGGCGGAGCAUGCGGAUUAAUUCGAUGCAACGCGACGAACCUUACCUGGGUUUGACAUCACUCAAAAACUCGCAGAGAUGCGGGGUCCUUCGGGGUGGGUGACAGGUGGUGCAUGGCUGUCGUCUCCUCUUGUCUUGAGAUGUUGGGUUAAGUCCCGCAACGAGCGCAAACCUCGUUCGAUGUUGCCAGCGGUUCGGCCGGGGACUCAUCGAAGACUGCCGGGGUCAACUCGGAGGAAGGUGGGGAUGUCGUCAAGUCAUCAUGCCCUUUAUGUCCAGGGCUUCACGCAUGUUACACUGGCCGGUACAAACCGUGGAGAGCCCGUGAGGGGGAGAGAAUAUGAAAAAGCCCGUUUCAGUUUGGAUCGGGGUUUGCAAAUCGACCCCCCGAAAUCGGAAUCGCUAGUAAUUGCAGAUCAACCACGCCGCGGUGAAUACGUUCCCGGG